ACAAGUAGCGGAGCAUGUGGUUUAAUUCGAAGCAACGCGAAGAACCUUACCUAAGCUUGACAUCCCAAUGACAUCUCCUUAAUCGGCGAGUUCCCUUCGGGGACAUUGGUGACAGGUGGUGCAUGGUUGUCGUCAGCUCGUGUCGUGAGAUGUUGGGUUAAGUCCCGCAACGAGCGCAACCCUUGUCUUUAGUUGCCAUCAUUAAGUUGGGCAC
rnacentral:rRNA from 1 species